GUCCUGGUUCAUAUCAAUAGUCUGCACUGCAUCGCCACGAGUAAAGAUGAGAGCAUGAUUUUGAUUCUCUGGUUUUCCUUCCCCAAGUUUCAAGGGGCCUGGCAACUUGAUCCUGUAAAUUUCAACUUCCUUGUCCAACUGCUGAUCAUAUUUCACAAGCACAGAGUAAUACUCCUUCUCAUCUCUCCCUGUGUUCACCUCAUCUACAUAGGCAACUCGAAGGGCCUCAUUAGUUUUCAUCAAAUACAAUAUUUCUUCAGCAUGGGGAUCCUUCUUUGCUUUUUGAGUCCCGUAUAUCUGGCAGGCAACCACAUAUGAGUAUUUCAUCAAAGCAGUACCAUAUUCAUGGCCUUUAAACAACAAAUUGACAGAACUACUAUUCCUGCUUAAACUAUUGAAAGAAGGAGAUCCUUCAGAUUUAAAGCUAUCUGAACCACCAUCUCGCCUCAUUGAACCAAGUUCUCGCGAACCUUCCCUGAUGUCCACCUCUGAGGCAGAAUCAAGAAAAGCCAGCAUCUUAAGAGCACGAUAAUAAUACAUCAUUCCCCUCACUGUACGAGCCAACGUCUGGCCUCUAUAAGAUGCCCAAAGCCUAAGAUCCCUCAUCCUGGUUGUCCAUAGCUCAUCUUCCUUCACCAUUCCUUCUCUGCGCAUCCUUUCAAUAAAGUUCUUCCAUUCAUCAUUGUAAAUUGUUUGCAGAUAGUACCAUAUGGAAAUCCCAUCUUCAUUCUCAGUUCGAAGCUGUUCCCUGCUGUACAGCACUUCUUCAUUGUAAUAAGGGGUCAGGACACUAAAAGCCAUCAUUUUCUCAACUUGGGGAGCAUGGGGCAUGUUCAUAAAUAGGGAAUUACUAAAAAAGGCAAUUCUACGUCUGGCCUCAAGAUUUUUUGGUAUAUUUUGCAUUGAAUCCCUAGAGGUAAGAAUAGUGUGCAACCGUCGUACCUGCCGAUAGAAGGUUUCAUUACUGGCAUCAGGCAAUUCAACUGCAUUCUGAAAAAGCAGACCUGCCAUGGCAGCAGGAUCAUGAGGAGCCAAACCAUCCUCCCUCAACUGUUCUGUGCUCCUCUUGUCUUUGAAAAAAUCUCGCACAGCAAUCUCAUACAAAGCCUGAAGUGUAUUCACCACCUGGUUCAGAUCUUUCUUAGGCUUAUUCAAAAGCUCAACAAGUUUUAUCAACUUGGUAUGAAAAUGAGGAAGAGCAGUCAUGUUGAAAGUCUUAGUAAAUUUCUCUAUCUGCAAUGAGUGAUCAAUUUCCUGAAACAAGACUGUGAUAAUUGAAUGCUCCUCAGUGUUGAUCUUGAUGGUCUCAAGCAACAAGUGCUUGACGCUAUCAUAAGCUUCUAUAACAGCACAGCGCCUGUACUCGUUCUUGCAUAUCUUAUACCAGAGCCACUUAUCAGGAGCAUCUACCAACUCUUUGGCCUGGCUAAGAGCAAGUAGCAGCUCGUUACAAAGGAGAAAACAUGGCCAGCGAAUAACUCUCACAUUCCAAGAAUUUUGUGGCAGUUCCAAUAAUUCGAGCUCCCUAUCAGAGAUAAUAUCCUCUUCCCUGAAGGUUGUUAUAAUUUCAUUCCAGAUCAAAGCAAACUUGUUUGCCUCGACCUGGUUAGACUCCAACUUCUUGUAGGGCCGGCCAAGUCCGUACCUCAACUUCAACCGAUGAAUGGCAUCUUUGAACUUGCUCUUCAAAGUCCCCCUCGCAUUUAAUAGCUGCUCUUCUGGCAUGAGAUUAAACUGAAUUGCACUUGCAAAGAACUGAAAUCUCAACGUCAAUUGUUGGAUGUUUCUGAUUUCACCCAAAUGCGCCAAUAAGCCCACUAAGGCACCCACAAAAGAUGAAUAGAUGGAGUACCAAAUCUGCAAGUCCAUCAGGUAAAUCAAUACCACAGGAAGCCACAACAAUCCUACUGCAAACCUGUUGCUGCUUUUGAAAAACUCAUGCCAUUCAUAAGUCACAUCCCUAAGAUCCAACAACUGCCUGGAUGGCUUAAUCAUGGGUUUAAUCUGCAGAAAGUAACUGAAAGCAAAUUUGGUAGCUAAAACUACAACCCAAAACAAAGUAUACUUGAUAUUAUCAACAAGCCCCUCCCUCAAUCCACGACCAACGAAACUCCUACUCUGAAACCACCACGAGAGCAAAUAAAAGAUCCUCCAAUUCCUAUUCUCAAGAAAAUUCCUAAUCCAUGGGAUUAUAAAGAAAGCCAGUGCCAACAACUCAGGCAACACAAACACCAAUGCCACCUCAAGAAAAUUGACUAUCCUCCUGUUAGCCUCACUAGACCACCUGCCAUCACUGUUCUUCUGACUCCAAAUUCUCCCAUAAAACACCCCAAAUACAAUAAUCCACCCCGCGGCAACCGCACUUUUCAACAACAUUCUAACCCCAAGCCACAUGGUCUCCCUAGAAACCAAACUAUACUGCAUCCCUGCAUCAAGCAAAGACUGCAAUAACCGCAACCCACUCCAAGUAAAGAACAGAGUCAAAACCCGAACCUGAACUUCCCGGUCUUCCAAUGCCUGCCAUGGAUAUUCCUUCCUUUCCCACGCAACAAUAAUCGCGAACUGUAGAAACAGUAUUAGCAUCACCCAUAGCCUGUCGAAACUCCUUAGCAAGUUCCAAAACGACCUCUGUUCCACAAACCCCGUCUUCCCUACAUGCUUUCGCCCACUUGAAAUCACGAAGAAAUUACUCCCUACAUCGAUUGGCCACUUCAAUUUGGCGAAACACCUUUUCGUCCAAAAAUACUCGUUUAAAUCAUCAUAAUUUCUCCAAGCACUAUGUGGCGCCGUUCCAUUCUUGCUGCUCUCUACCUCCUUUUUGAUCGUCUCGUAAAUCGGCUUGACGACGCAAUUGAGAAACGCGUUCUCGCCGGAAAGCGAAGGCAUCACCGGCUGCCCCGUGUUCUCGUCUAUGUAAUCCUCGAGUAUCUUGUUCAAUUCCAUGGCCAUAUUGUGGAAAAUGUAACAGAUACAUUCCGGCAUGAAGCGGAGAUUCGCAGACUCCCCCCAGAUUAGGAGAUAGAGAGAUAUAUACAACAACUCGCGACGGAGAUCGGGAUGUGACCGGUCAGAGAUCCAGAUGUUGGAUUUCUUAUUGAGAUAAGAGCACCAGUUGGUGUAGUUUUUCAGCAAUUUCCGGCGGAAUCUCCGGAGCACGGUAGCGUCAAGAGUGUCGAUGUUGUCAGGAGGAGGAGUGAGGCGCAUCUGGGCGUUGGCAAGGUGAAGGACUAUAUGCUCCCGCUGGUUCCUAACGUUGUCCUUCUGAAACCCAAAGAAAAGAGCCAGCCAAUCCAGCAGGUCCAUAGAAGGGUGCCAUUGGGAAUACGGCGGCUUCCGUAGGUUCCCGACAGUGCGCAAAGCAGCAGCGGCUGCUCGCACCUCAGGAUACCGUAGUGAGGGGUGGUCGGCUAAGAGGUUGUGGAUGGGUAUGAUGUUGUAGUGCUCCUCUUCCGGUUCUUGUGCCCGGUUAGACCGGUUCGGUCCAGGUGGAGUGCGAUGGCGGAGAGCGGACAUGGCAUGAGGAGCGGCAAGUGGGAGUACAGACUUUUUUAGAGAGAAUGCGUAGAAGAAGAAGAAGAAGAAGA
rnacentral:misc_RNA from 1 species